rnacentral:rRNA from 1 species
CGAACGGGUGAGUAACGCGUGAGGAACCUGCCUCAAAGAGGGGGACAACAGUUGGAAACGACUGCUAAUACCGCAUAAGCCACGGUGCCGCAUGGCACAGAGGGAAAAGGAGCAAUCCGCUUUGAGAUGGCCUCGCGUCCGAUUAGCUAGUUGGUGAGGUAAUGGCCCACCAAGGCGACGAUCGGUAGCCGGACUGAGAGGUUGAACGGCCACAUUGGGACUGAGACACGGCCCAGACUCCUACGGGAGGCAGCAUG